AUAUAAAUAGGUAACUACGGGGUACUAUGAUCCCAGCUACAGGUAACUAUAUAACUAGGUAACUACAGGGAACUAUAGUACAAGCUACAGGUAACAAGAUAACUAGGUAACUAUGGUACAAGCUACAGGUAACAAGAUAACUAGGUAACUAUGGUACAAGCUACAGGUAACAAGAUAACUAGGUAACUAUAGUACAAGCUACAGGUAACAAGAUAACUAGGGAACUAUAGUACAAGCUACAGGUAACAAGAUAACUAGGUAACUAUGGUACAAGCUACAUGUAACAAGAUAACUAGGUAACUAUGGUACAAGCUACAGGUAACAAGAUAACUAGGUAACUAUGGUACAAGCUACAGGUAACAAGAUAACUAGGUAACUAUGGUACAAGCUACAGGUAACAAGAUAACUAGGUAACUAUGGUACAAGCUACAGGUAACAAGAUAACUAGGUAACUAUGGUACAAGCUACAGGUAACAAGAUAACUAGGUAACUAUGGUACAAGCUACAGGUAACAAGAUAACUAGGUAACUAUGGUACAAGCUACAGGUAACAAGAUAACUAGGUAACUAUGGUACAAGCUACAGGUAACAAGAUAACUAGGUAACUAUAGUACAAGCUACAGGUAACAAGAUAACUAGGUAACUAUGGUACAAGCUACAGGUAACAAGAUAACUAGGUAACUAUGGUACAAGCUACAGGUAACAAGAUAACUAGGUAACUAUGGUACAAGCUACAGGUAACAAGAUAACUAGGUAACUAUAGUACAAGCUACAGGUAACAAGAUAACUAGGUAACUAUGGUACAAGCUACAGGUAACAAGAUAACUAGGUAACUAUGGUACAAGCUACAGGUAACAAGAUAACUAGGUAACUAUGGUACAAGCUACAGGUAACAAGAUAACUAGGUAACUAUGGUACAAGCUACAGGUAACAAGAUAACUAGGUAACUAUGGUACAAGCUACAGGUAACAAGAUAACUAGGUAACUAUGGUACAAGCUACAGGUAACAAGAUAACUAGGUAACUAUGGUACAAGCUACAGGUAACAAGAUAACUAGGUAACUAUAGUACAAGCUACAGGUAACAAGAUAACUAGGUAACUAUGGUACAAGCUACAGGUAACAAGAUAACUAGGUAACUAUGGUACAAGCUACAGGUAACAAGAUAACUAGGUAACUAUGGUACAAGCUACAGGUAACAAGAUAACUAGGUAACUAUGGUACAAGCUACAGGUAACAAGAUAACUAGGUAACUAUGGUACAAGCUACAGGUAACAAGAUAACUAGGUAACUAUGG